rnacentral:rRNA from 1 species
UCAAAUGUAUGUUUGACGUAUUCUGAAAGGGAUACUUCUUCGGACAAUAUACAAGGUGCUGCAUGGUUGUCGUCAGCUCGUGUCGUGAGAUGUUGGGUUAAGUCCCGUACGAGCGCAACCCUGUCCUUAGUUACCAGCACGUUAUGGUGGGCACUCUAAGGAGACUGCCGGUGACAAACCGGAGGAAGGUGGGGAUGACGUCAAGUCAUCAUGGCCCUUACGGCCUGGGCUACACACGUGCUACAAUGGUCGGUACAAAGGGUUGCCAAGCCGCGAGGUGGAGCUAAUCCCAUAAAACCGAUCGUAGUCCGGAUCGCAGUCUGCAACUCGACUGCGUGAAGUCGGAAUCGCUAGUAAUCGUGGAUCAGCCAAGCCGCGGUGAAUACGUUCCCGGGCCUU